rnacentral:lncRNA from 1 species
UAUAAAUAAUCCAUAUUUACGUGAUUAGAUCGAGAAUAAAAAUUUUAUUCGACAUUAAAAAUAGGCGUCAAAAAUAUUCGGAAUUUUAUUUUCAUUUUUACUAUAUAAGAUGUUUCCAUAGGGGAGCUGAGUUUUUUUUUAUAGUCUGAAGAUAGCCAUUAAAAAUAGGUGGGUAAACAUCAGGUAUCUAGUCUCAAUCAUCCCUAGGAUAUUUGAUGCACAACAAGGGAAAGUGAGGUAUAAUCGAGGGCUAAACAAAUCCUGCAAUUUUUUUAUGACUUUGAGGGACGCCCUUAGAACCUCAUAUUGAAGUGUUUACUUCAUGGCUUGGAUCUUUGAAAUUGAAAAUAAAAAAGCGUUCAAUUUCUUCAUGGCAAGUACCUGGUAUUGACAUUACGCCGCACUGUACAAACUCAAGAAGGUCAUAUUUACAGUCGAAAUACUCUGGAGACAAUCAUAGAACAUAUUAGAGAAAGAAUAUAUUGCAAA